rnacentral:rRNA from 1 species
AUUCAUGAGUAUUGUGCUGCUUCCGGACAAAAGGUAAAUCUCACAAAGUCAAGUAUUUUCUUUGGGAAAGGUUGCCCUGAUGAGAUGAGAACGGUAAUCAAAGACACUCUCGAGGUCCCAAAUGAAUCUUUGGUUGAACGGUACUUAGGUUCACCGUCUGAUGUUGGAACAUCGAAAAACGGAGCAUUCAAAUACAUAAAAGAUAGAGUUUGGGCAAAAGUGCAAGGAUGGAUAGAGAGGUGUAUGGCUACUGCGAGGAAGGAAGUCCUGAUCAAAUCCAUGGCAUAG